rnacentral:rRNA from 1 species
GAUGAACGCUGGCGGCGUGCCUAAUACAUGCAAGUCGAGCGAACAGAUGAGGAGCUUGCUCCUCUGACGUUAGCGGCGGACGGGUGAGUAACACGUGGAUAACCUACCUAUAAGACUGGGAUAACUUCGGGAAACCGGAGCUAAUACCGGAUAAUAUAUUGAACCGCAUGGUUCAAUAGUGAAAGACGGUUUUGCUGUCACUUAUAGAUGGAUCCGCGCCGCAUUAGCUAGUUGGUAAGGUAACGGCUUACCAAGGCAACGAUGCGUAGCCGACCUGAGAGGGUGAUCGGCCACACUGGAACUGAGACACGGUCCAGACUCCUACGGGAGGCAGCAGUAGGGAAUCUUCCGCAAAGGACGAAAGCCUGACGGAGCAACGCCGCGUGAGUGAUGAAGGUCUUCGGAUCGUAAAACUCUGUUAUUAGGGAAGAACAAAUGUGUAAGUAACUAUGCACGUCUUGACGGUACCUAAUCAGAAAGCCACGGCUAACUACGUG